rnacentral:rRNA from 1 species
ACACGACUACAUUAGAUACCCCGGUAGUCCUAGCCGUAAACGAUACUCGCUAGGUGUCGGCCACGGUGCGACCGUUGUCGGUGCCGUAGGGAAGCCGUGAAGCGAGCCACCUGGGAAGUACGGCCGCAAGGCUGAAACUUAAAGGAAUUGGCGGGGGAGCACAACAACGGGUGGAGCCUGCGGUUUAAUUGGAUUCAACGCCGGAAAUCUUACCGGGACCGACAGCAACAUGAAGGCCAAGCUGAAGACUUUGCCGGAUUAGCUG